UCUGAUAACUAAAGUUGUUUCCACUGAUUAAAACUCUACUUUUUAGGAGAGGGUAACACCAUUACCAUUGUUCUUUCUUAAACAACAACAACAACAACAA